rnacentral:lncRNA from 1 species
GGAGAGGCGGAGAAGGAACCGAGCGGGCAGUUGAGGGAAAUCUCGGAGGAGGUUACCUGCGAUCAAACUGGGGCUGCGUAGUGUUAGGGUCAGGCAGCUUUGAAGUGGAAUCCGGAUCCGCCACUCUCGCUGCGUGAUAUUGGGCAUGCCAUCAAAGCGCUCUCAACCGAACGUCUCGGGUAAAAUGGGAUUAGUGAAGUCUACCAAGGUAGUUGUGAGGAUCAAAAGAGAUAACGCGGAAAACGCCUCACCUGGCACGUUAUAGAUCCUAAAUGCCUAGCUAUUAUUAUGGAGCCCACAACCUCCAUAUUUUACAACUGGGAACACGGGACUCAAAGAGAUUAAAAAACUAAAUGACUCACUCAAGGUCAGGUAGUGGUGGAGACCCAGGCUUCAAGUUCAAUACUCUUUGUCCUACAAAGCCUUCCCUUAAGCAGGGGUAAUAAAACAUUUCAGAAAAACCACCUUAAAGAGCAUCGCUUGUGAUCUGUGGAUCACUUGGUAGUCCCCACCUCCCUCCCAUCCCCGCAAAGGUUUAGAGCUGGACAUAAGGGCCUUGGUGCAACUUUUGGAGGGCAGUUGUUCAGCUUCUGAAUUUGCAUCUGAACGAGCAAUAAGGUUGUAAAACUCUUGAAUGGCAGGAACCCUGUCUAGUUCCACAUCGAAUUUCCAGCCUGUUCCUCAGUAACAGCACCACUCAACAACUAGCUAUUGAAUGGCUGAGUGAGCUCCCUGCCUAUCUUAUAAAAUUAUUAAAUUUUCUGGGAAGUUAAGAAUUUCCAAUAAAUCUUGGACUACUCUAAAAUGCACCAGAAAUUACGUGGUCACACUCGUGCAGUGAAAGAAGGCUUUGGCAGUAGCAUAAGACAUUAAGCAGAAGUAGGAAAUGCAGUGAGGAAGAAGUUGUAAUGUUUUCAACAGCUGCCACUAUGGAUCUAGGAUGAGAGCUUUCCACAUGUUGUUAAGAAUGAGAGACAGAUUACUCAACUCCGGAACAAUGAAGGAGGAAGAAUGAAUGAGUUGCGCCCUGAAGAUGGUGGGCUCUCCUUUAUGCAUGAUCAUCACG